CACUGUCAUUUGUGAACAAUGGUCAUUAUUUAAAAGAUGGUGACUUGAUAGUAAUGAAAGAGGAAGGGACGGCUAACUCUGUGCCAGCAGCCGCGGUAAUACAGAGGUCCCGAGCGUUGUUCGGAUUCACUGGGCGUAAAGGGUGCGUAGGUGGCAUGGUAAGUUUGAUGUGAAAGCUCAGGGCUCAACCCUGAAAUGGCAUUGAAUACUACUGUGCUGGAGGUUUGGAGGGGGGACUGGAAUUCUUGGUGUAGCAGUGAAAUGCGUAGAUAUCAAGAGGAACACCAGUGGCGAAGGCGAGUCCCUGGACAACACCUGACACUGAGGCACGAAAGCUAGGGGAGCAAACAGGACUUAGAUACCCUGGUAGUCCUAGCCCUAAACGGUGCGCAUUUGCUGUAGGAGGAAUCGACCCCUUCUGUGGCGAAGCUAACGCGAUAAAUGCGCCGCCUGGAGAGUACGGUCGCAAGAUUA
rnacentral:rRNA from 1 species